rnacentral:rRNA from 1 species
GAUGAACGCUGGCGGCGUGCCUAACACAUGCAAGCCGAACGGGACAUUUUUUGGAAAGCUCUUCGGAACUGGAAUCUAAAUGUUAGUGGCGGACGGGUGAGUAACGCGUGAGCAAUCUGCCUUUCAGAGGGGGAUAACAGCCGGAAAACGGCUGCUAAAUACCGCAUAAUGCAUCGGAUUCGCAUGUUUCUGAUGCCUAAAGUAUUUUUAUCGCUGAAAAGAUGAGCCUCGCGUCUGAUUUAGGCUAGUUGGCGGGGUAACGGCCCACCAAGGCGACGAUCAGUAG